GAAACCUAAAAGUAGAGAAAGUCCGGAUCGAGGUUAGGUCUUUUGAGCAGAGGAUGAAUAACCCAGGAUACAAGGUCUCGACAUGGAUGAAAACACAUGAAGGCGGAACAAAAAAACCCUCAGCAAAACAAGAGAAAACCGCCUCGAGGAAGAAGUAGGAGGAGCCAUGGUGGUGACAUGUGAUGCGAGGUGGGAGAAGAUAAUGAAGGUGCGCGUCUCUCAGCGGGCCAACAGGUGGAGCGGCGCUCCCAAAGGUGGUGGCGGCGGCGUGCAGGAAGACAUGUUACACGUCUGACACACGCAUGACCGCACGUCUCCCUCGCAGGAACAUCCUGUCACACACACACACACACACACACACACACAGGUGCGAAUGGAAAGGAGGCUGUGGCAGCUACUUCCUGUCUCGGCAGGCGGGAGAAAGGUGCAGUGGUCCUUCUCAGCUGGUGCCUUGGGUUUGUUCUGCACUUUGCCUUCCUAGUUCCUGGUCCUCUGAUUGAAAACUGGACAGGUGUUUUUCUUGCACUAUUUUUAGGUGUUUCCUAUCCGUCCAUCUUCUUCCGCUUAUCCGGGUCGCGGGGGCAGCAGCCUAAGCAGCCACUUGGUCCAGCUCAGAGGGGGGGGGGUCCCGAGGCCAGCCGGGAGACAUAGUCUUCCCAACGUGUCCUGGGUCUUCCCCGUGGCCUCCAAUCAAUCAAUCAAUCAAUGUUUAUUUAUAUAGCCCCAAAUCACAAAUGUCUCAAAGGGCUGCACAAAUCAUUACGACUACAACAUCCUCGGAAGAACCCACAAAAGGGCAAGGAAAACUCACACCCAGUGGGCAGGGAGAAUUCACAUCCAGUGGGACGCCAGUGACAAUGCUGACUAUGAGAAACCUUGGAGAGGACCUCAGAUGUGGGCAACCCCCCCCCCCCCUCUAGGGGACCGAAAGCAAUGGAUGUCGAGCGGGUCUAACAUGAUACUGUGAAAGUUCAAUCCAUAGUGGCUCCAACACGGCCGCCAGAGUUCAGUUCAAAGUGGAUCCAAGACGGCAGCGAGAGUCCCGUCCACAGGAAACCAUCUCAAGUGGAGGCGGAUCAGCAGUGUAGAGAUGUCCCCAACCGAUACACAGGCGAGCGGUCCAUCCUGGGUCUCGACUCUGGACAGCCAGUACUUCAUCCAUGGUCAUCGGACCGGACCCCCUCCACAAGGGAGGGGGGGACAUAGGAGGUCGGAUGUGCCCUAAACACCUCCCUAGGGAGGAGUUCGGGUGGCAUCCUGACCAGAUGCCCGAACCACCUCAUCUGGCUCCUCUCCAUGUGGAGGAGCAGCGGCUUUACUUUGAGUUCCUCCCGGAUGGCAGAGCUUCUCACCCUAUCUCUAAGGGAGAGACCCAAACUCAUUUGGGCCGCUUGUACCCGUGAUCUUAUCCUUUCGGUCAUGACCCAAAGCUCAUGACCAUAGGUGAGGAUGGGAACGUAGAUGGACCGGUAAAUUGAGAGCUUUGCCUUCCGGCUCAGCUCCUUCUUCACCACAACGGAUCGGUACAACGUCCGCAUUACUGAAGACGCCGCACCGAUCCGCCUGUCGAUCUCACCAUCCACUCUUCCCUCACUCGUGAACAAGACUCCGAGGUACUUGAACUCCUCCACUUGGGGAAAGAUCUCCUCCCCAACCCGAAGAUGGCACUCCACCCUUUUCCGGGUGAGAACUAUGGACUCAGACUUGGAUUUCAUGAUUCUCAUCCUGGUCAAGAACCGAUCCAGGGAGAGCUGAAGAUCCCGGUCAGAUGAAGCCAUCAGGACCACAUCAUCUGCAAAAAGCAGAGACCUAAUCCUGCGGUCACCAAACCGGAACCCCUCGACUACGCCUAGAAAUUCUGUCCAUAAAAGUUAUGAACAGAAUGGGUGAGAAAGGACAGUCCAACCCUCACUGGAAACGUUUCCGACUUACUCCCGGCAAUGCGGACCAAGUUCUGGCACGGAUCAUACAGGGAGCGGACCGCAACAAUCAGACAGUCCCACACCCCAUACUCUCUGAGCACUCCCCACAGGACAUCCCGAGGGACACGGUCCAAUGCCUUCUCCAAGUCCACAAAGCACAUGUAGACUGGUUGGGCAAACUCCCAUGCACCCUCAAGAACCCUGCCCAGAGUAUAGAGCUGGUCCACAGUUCCACGACCAGGACGAAAACCACACUGUUCCUCCUGAAUCCGAGGUUGGACUAUCCGGCGUAGCCUCCUCUCCAGUACACCUGAAUAAACCUUACCGUGAAGGCUGAGGAUAGUUGGAACACACCCUCCGGUCCCCCUUCUUAAAGAGAGGGACCACCACCCCGGUCUGCCAAUCCAGAGGUACCGCCCCCUGAUGUCCAUGCGAUGCUGUAGAGUCUUGUCAACCACGACAGCCCCACAGCAUCCAGAGCCUUAAGGAACUCCGGGCGGAUCUCAUCCACCCCAGUUCCACGAGCAGGAUGAAAACCACACUGUUCCUCCUGAAUCCGAGGUUGGACUAUCUGGCGUAGCCUCCUCUCCAGUACACCUGAAUAAACCUUACCGGGAAGGCUGAGGAGUGUGAUCCCAUGAUAGUUAGAACACACCCUCCGGUCCCCCUUCUUAAAGAGAGGAACCACCACCCCGGUCUGCCAAUCCAGAAGUACCGACCCCAAUGUCCACGCGAUGCUGCAGAGUCUUGUCAACCAAGACAGCCCCACAGCAUCCAAAGUCUUAAGGAACUCCGGGCGGGUCUCAUCCACCCCAAUUCCACAACCAGGACGAAAACAACACUGUUCCUCCUGAAUCCGAGGUUGGACUAUCUGGCGUAGUCUCCUCUCCAGUACACCUGAAUAAACCUUACCGGGAAGGCUGAGGAUAGUUGGAACACACCCUCCGGUCCCCCUUCUUAAAGAGAGGAACCACCACCCCGGUCUGCCAAUCCAGAGGUACCGCCCCCGAUGUCCACGCGAUGCUGCAGAGUCUUGUCAACCAAGACAGCCCCACAGCAUCCAGAGCCUUAAGGAACUCCGGGCGGGUCUCAUCCACCCCCGGGGCCUUGCCCAAACCUCAGCCCCAGAAAUAGAAGACCCCACCCGAGAUUCCCCAGGCACUGCUUCCUCGUAGGAAGACGGUUGGUGCGAUUGAGGAGGUCUUCGAAGUAUUCCUUCCACCGAUCCACAACAUCCGCAGUCGAGGUCAGCAGAACACCAUCCUCACCAUACACGGUGUUGAUAGUGCACUGCUUCCCCUUCCUGAGGCGGCGGACGGUGGUCCAGAAUCGCUUCAAAGCCGUUUGGAAGUCGUUUUCCAUGGCUUCCCCGAAAUCCUCCCAUGUCCGGCCGCUGAAGCUACACAUCCCUUGGCCUGUCGGUACCUUGUCCACUGCCUCCAGAGUCCUAUGAGCCAAAAGAACCGGAUAGGACUCCUUCUUCAGCUUGACCGCAUCCCUCACUGCUGGUGUCCACCAAGGGGUUCUAGGAUUAGCGCCCCGACAGGCACCAACUACCUUGCGGCCACAGCUCCAAUCGGCCGCCUCGACAAUAGAAGUGCGGAACACGGUCCAAUCGGACUCAAAGUCCCGCACUUCGCCCGUCGCCUCUCCCCAGAGUGGAAGAGAGUCCAGCCCCUCUCGAGAGAACUGGGUCCAGAGCCCUUGCCGGAACUUCUCCACCUCGCGCACUAGCUCAGGCUCCUUCCCCCCCCAACGAGGCGAGGUUCCACGUCCCAAGAACUAGGUUCUGUAGCCGAGGAUCGGACCAGCUCACGUCGCACCAGACCUCUAUGGUCCCUGCUAUGGGGGGUCAGCCCAUUGGAGGGGGGACCCAUGUCGCCUCUUGGGGUGGGGGAUCAGGCAAUGGCCAUCGUGCCCCACCAUCCGGGCCUGGCUCCAGGGGGGGGCCCAGUGACCCGGGUUCAGGUCAGGGAAAUCGUAGUCUUAGUUCUUGCAUUCCCAUAGAAGUAUUUUAUUUUUAAUUAUUUAAAAAGAAAAAUUUCCUUUACAUUGGGGGUAUUGUGUGUAGAAUUUUGAGGACAAAAAAACAAAUGUAUUUAAUUUGGCAAUAAGGCUGCAACAUGAGCUGUUGGAAAAUGUGAAUUGCUUUGAAUUGAAUUUUAAAAAAAGUUUUAUUUGUAAAAAAUUGUACAAACAUUUUUUUCUAACUUGUCACUAUGGACAACAUUUACUUAUUUUCUUAUAUUUUUCAAAUAUUUUUUUUAUUAUUCAUUGAGGUUUUUUU